rnacentral:rRNA from 1 species
CCUACGGGUGGCAGCAGUGAGGAAUAUUGGUCAAUGGGCGGGAGCCUGAACCAGCCAUGCCGCGUGCAGGAAGACGGCCCUAUGGGUUGUAAACUGCUUUUGUACGGGGGUAAAGUCAGAUACGCGUAUCUGUCUGAAAGUAUCGUACGAAUAAGGAUCGGCUAACUCCGUGCCAGCAGCCGCGGUAAUACGGAGGAUUCGAGCGUUAUCCGGAUUUAUUGGGUUUAAAGGGUGCGUAGGUGGUCGGAUAAGUUAGAGGUGAAAUCCUGAGGCUCAACUGCGGAAUUGCCGUUGAUACUGGUCGGCUAGAGAGUAGUUGAGGUAGGCGGAAUGUAUGGUGUAGCGGUGAAAUGCUUAGAGAUCACACAGAACACCGAUUGCGAAGGCAGCUUACCAAGCUACUUCUGACGUUGAGGCACGAAAGCGUGGGGAGCAAACAGGAUUAGAUACCCGGGUAGUC